GAGGGGGCGAGGAGGCGCGGAGCCCCGCGGAGAGGGGGGCGGGAGGCGGACUUCGCCGCGGGUCGCCGCGCUCCGGGGGCGGGCGGGAGCCCGACAGGAGGCUGGGGCCACCCUGACGGGUGUGGGGUGCCCUGCCGCCGAUUGAAGCGGUGACAUAGGGGUCAGCCGAGAUACUCGCUGAAGGAAGGGGAGAGCUGUUUUCGCUGGUUGUGUUUUUGUCUGCUUAAACAUGAGGCUGGAAAACACUUCUCUGUGGUCUGAUAAAUAAUAAAAGUGAUCAUUUCUCCUUCCCUGUAAAUGACACAGGUAAAUUAUCCAGCUAGCCACAAAGCAGCAUCACAUGCCUGGAGGACGGUGUAAUAAAAUGCCGAUGUGUUGUGAUACGACUGACCUCAAAAGUGUGACAAGAGGAUGAUUAUAGUGCAUUAUAUGUAGUGUGUUAUAUGUAGUGCAUUUUUAAACAUUUUCUGAAGCAUGAAUGAAUCUUCAUUUGACUCUGCUUUUAUUGCUAGCUUUUCUCAGCUUGAACUUGCAAGCCGUAUCAUGCAGUACCUAUCCAAUUUAGUAUGCCCAUGUACAUGGCCACGCUGGCUGCUGUUUCUGGUUAAGCCUUUCAAAUAUAUGUGCAUACAAAAAGAAAAGAUAACAUCGGUAUUUAUCUUCUUCCAUGUGCGAUAUUGUAGCUAAAAAGUGUCUGCUGUUUCAGUUGAUAGCACUGGCCAGCAAGAGCUCCAAGUUACUGCCUCGAAGAUUUUAGAAGAUUUUACAUUUUCAGAUGCAGGCUCCUGCCUUCAGAUUCCUAUAUACAUACACAUGUACGGCACAGUGCUAGGCAGUGGUGGAAGCUCCUCAUAUCUGUUAGAGGUCACUAACUUGCAUGGCUUGGUUUUGUGUGGCACGUAGUGAUAUUACUGUGGUGCGUUCCCUUGGAAGUGAUACAGAUUGAUAAUACACUCUGUAUGUGAACACUGCAAUCCUGUUGUUGCAUGAUGUGUAAAGAUUAAGCAGUCUUAGUUUUGCAGUGCUUUGUAUUUGUGUCUGAAAGACUCCUGUUACAGACAGAGAGAAAAAAAUUGAUCCUGGUUUUGAUGACAUCAAGUAAUGGUAGCAAACGGAACUGAAUCUAAUAAUAGUUUAAGAAAAAUGUUCAUUAUGUAAUACAGGAAGGAUGGCUAGAGCCCCAGCAUUGAAAGUCAAGCAAGUGACACAAAGGAGCAACCUCACUGCCAAACCACUUAGAAAAAAAAAGAAUUCUGUGAAUGAAUUAAGUAUGUGAUCCUUUUGUCUUCUAAAAUACAAAGCAGAACAGCCAUUAAUAAAGAAGAUAAUUAGGACUGCGAGCUUUCUGUGUAAUGCAGUCUGCUUCUGAAAUAUGGCGUGUUUAUGUAUGCAUUAAUAAUGCACACAUUUUUUCUGACACUAGUCAUAUCACAGCAGUAUGGCAUCACAGACGUUUUAUAGCCUCAUUCUAGUAACAUCACAGACAUGCAACAUUCUUAUUCUAAUCACACCAUAGCUAUUUCAAUGUCACAUUGUAGUCACAUCACAUAGCUUGGUAAUAAUUAUUUAACUUUAUUGCUAAGCUGAAUAGUUUUCUGUUUGCUCAAGGAUGACUUUAACUUGUAGUCAGAACUGAUUACCACAUGCUCAUAAAUGAGCUCUUCUCAUGUAUGCAGGGUUAGCCUGUGUUAGGAAGGGAAAAAACAGUGAAAUUUCAGAGAACUAAUCAUGGUUGGAUUCGAGCUACUAAUGGUCACAAAUCAGAAUAGUACAAUGUUUCUGCUGUUUUCUGAAGCUACAUUAGAAAGCCAGAGGUGUUUACUUGAAGUUCUGCCAUGUUAAUGUUUAUGUGCUUGCUUUAAAAUGCUGUAGUUCUUUAACUAAUCAUGCAUUGUUAACCUCUUGGAAAAGGCAGCGCUUCAGACUACGGUGUUUGCACAGCAGAUUGUAAAAUUGUGUCUCAGAGCUCCAAGGGGGCUAGAACUGUCACGAAUACUUCUAAUAAUAUUGGAAGAAAAUUAAUAGAAGCUCAAGUCCUUGAGCAGGAAUCAGAAUCACACAGCACGGCAUUAUGCAGCCUCUGAAAUUUGAGGAACUGCUGUACAACAUUUCCCAUGCUCAGUUGAGUAGCCAUGUUUUAUCCUCCAGUAAAUGUUUAUUCGGCUGAUCUUACAUUUGGGAAAACUACGGUAUGUGGUGUUUGGUCAAAUGGCAGCUAUGUACCGUUAUUUAUACUGUUCCUUAAUAGCCUUCUUUCUUUACCAUGAUGUAUUAGGCCUUUGUCUGCAUUUAAGAACACUGGUCUCCUAAUCACAUCAUAACCUAUUAGAAUGACUUUUGUAUUACAGCGUAUUAACUAUUCAUCCACAUCACUGCAUGUUAUCUUUGCCUCCAUAUUAUUAUGUAUCAAAUUCUUUUCCAUAUCAUAUUUGACGCGAAUUCUAGCAUGCUAGAAACUGACUCCAAUUAUUCUGUACUAGCUAUAGUCAAAUUGCACUAAAUGGAAUUGCUUACAUUGUAUCAUACUGGCUACAGGCUCACACAAUACAUUAUAAAUGAAACUGAUUCACAUUAUGCUUAGCUAACUAAAGACUUUAAUCUUGAAGUGUUGAGCAUAAAAUGCUAUCAUUCUUCACUGAACUGGCUCUGGUCACUUGAUCAUUUUGUACCUGGGAUUACCUCUUACAGUCUGUUAUUAUUAAAGCAAAAUGGCUUUUUUCCUCUCCUGCAGUUCUACCACUUUCUGUGGAGAGCUGAUUCAUAUUCUAAUGAGCGAGCUCUUAGCAUCAUGCCAUCACACUGCAACACUGGAACCUGACCUACAGCACACCUAUAGCAUGUUCCCUUCAGUCCAGCAUAAUGAGAAAAUACAUUAUAAACAAUUUUGUGUGUGUGUUCAAAUAGCAGGUUACGCGCUAGCUGUUUAGCAGUCCUUACUAUUAUCCCAGGAAGCCGUGUUUUUUAAACGUUGCUUUAAUCACACACAAGUACAGCUUUGGUCCCGUCUUGAAUAGGAAUUAUUCAAGGCCAAAUUGCCAGUCCUGCCGAGAUCAUUCAGAGUGCUCUUGAUGUGGUUGUUCAUUGAACCAUCUGCUGAAAGACUAGAGGAGUGGCAGGUAAGAUGUGAGGUUUCCCCAUGUAUGGGCAGUAUUUAAUCCAUGAAGUAGUUCACCUUCAUAGGGCAGGCGUUUGCUUUUUACUGCACUGACAUUUCUCUGUCCUUGACUCAGGCUUGUGGCACAAUCUGGUCUCAUGGUAACCUCAGGAAAUCCAGUUCUCACAUGAUGUACCUAUACCAAAAAGUAAUGCUUAUCUUUUUUACUCCUAACCUCCAAAACUUUAGGGAUUUUAUAAAUGCCAAAGAGGAGUAUGCCGCAAAGUUUCAUAAGAGCAUACAGAGAGGAUUAUUGAGCCUGUUUUCUUCAUGUUCUUGCUGGCACAUGUCUUUUGUCCGGAUGUUAUAUAUCUGAAUGCAUUUUUGGAGCUUUCUUCAGAGUUUCCCCCUCUCCCUGGGCGUAGGGAUUGAACACAGAGUCUUACUUAUGUGAGUAGUUCAAAUGAAGUCAGUAAAAAUGUUUUGUGUAAUGUAAACCAUAUGUAAGUACAGCCUUUCAGAAUGCCAGUUAAUUGAAUGUGCAUGAUACUUAUUUAAUGUACUCAUUUCUAUCAUUUAAAAAUGUGUUUUAAUUGUUUUGCAGAAUGAUUGUUAGUGCUCUAGGAAAAGAAAACCACUUAAGCAAACAAUUUAUGACUGUAUAAUGUGUACUCUUAAACAACAAUAGCAAAGUCAGUUAAUAAUGAAUAGUUGAAAGUACUUGAGCUUCGGAGAUGAUGGAAAUAGUUGCAGAAUUGGGGCCUUUUAAUGGACCAUCCUUGUGGAAAAUAAACUUGGUUCCUGGAUAAUCAAAUCACAAAAGGGGCAGGUGACGACCUUUAUUCCAUUUGAAUGGCAGAACUAACUUUAACUGAAUUUGCCAUUUUUUUUUAGACUGACAAAGAUUGCAAAUGUCAUUUUAUGGCUCUGAAGGGUCUACAAACGCACAAGCAGAAAACUGGCAUUUUGCAGUGCCAGUGUUUAAUCCCUGUCACUGUACAAUACAGCAAGGUGCCGAACUCCCAUUAAUUAUUGCUGCUUAUUUAAAGGUACAGAUUAACAUACAGAGUUGAAUUGUUUGCUUGAAAGUGUGUUGAUUUUUUUUUCCUUCUCACAAAGCUUUAGUAACUAUUUAGUGAAACAAUAAAAAUCAAUUUGGAAAUGGCAAAAAGAGAAUAAUAAACAAGUACCAUUUAAAAUGCAAUUAUUGGGCCACUUAAACAAGAUGUAAUUGCAUGUGGCACAUAAAGAAAAAAAAUGUCUUAUUUGUUUCUCUCAUAUUAUUUUUUACGAUGAAAGUAGCUGAUGAAUCAGAAUACAGAAGCUGAUUCAAACCAGCGUGUGCUUUUGUGUAAGGUGAAAGUAUUCUAAGACCUGCAAAUAACCUGAUGUCUUAUUGAUGUUUUAUUAUUUGGAAAUGGGGAAGGAAAAAGGCAGGAAAAGAAAAGGAGUUUAAUGUUUUUUUUUUUUUUUUCAGACAAAACAGUGGCUGAAGAAAGCUUUACUAAAUUGUUUUCAUUUCCACCAAAAGGACUGAGGAGCACUGUGAGACUGACUGUUCUUUGUGCUGAACUCAAGAGACAGCAAACUCAAUACUGGGUCUCAAUGGAAGAGCAAGGCAGGAAGAUGUGUUAUAAUUUGAGGAGCUGAUAAGCUUCAUAUUCUGAAAUUACAGCUUGAAAAGUACCCUAUACUUUUUAAAUUAAAUAAUUUAUGUUAUUUGUUGAGGAAAAUGCCACGGAUUUGAU